rnacentral:rRNA from 1 species
UACGGGGGGGACAAGCGUUGUUCGGAUUUACUGGGCGUAAAGGGCGCGUAGGCGGGUCUUCAAGUUGGAUGUGAAAUCUGGUAGCUCAACUACCAGCCUGCAUUCAAAACUGUUGAUCUUGAGUCGGGAAGAGGAAAGCGGAAUUCCAGGUGUAGCGGUGAAAUGCGUAGAUAUCUGGAAGAACACCGGUAGCGAAGGCGGCUUUCUGGUCCCACACUGACGCUAAAGCGCGAAGGCAUGGGUAGCAAACAGG